AGUGAACGCUGGCGGUAGGCCUAACACAUGCAAGUCGAACGGCAGCACAGUAAGAGCUUGCUCUUACGGGUGGCGAGUGGAGGACGGGUGAGGAAUACAUCGGAAUCUACUUUUUCGCGGGGGAUAACGUAGGGAAACUUACGCUAAUACCGCAUACGACCUACGGGUGAAAGCAGGGGAUCUUCGGACCUUUCUCGAAUCAAUGAGCCGAUGGCGGAUUAGCUAGUUGGCGGGGUAAAGGCCCACGAAGACGACGAUCCGUAGCUGGUCUGAGAGGAUGAGCAGACACACUGGAACUGAGACACGGUACGAACUCCUGCGGGACGACCCGGUGUGGAAUAAUAAAGAAUGGAGGGAAGCCUGAUCGAGCCAUACCGCGUGUGUGGAGGAGGCCGUCGGGUUGUAGAGCCCUGUUGUGAGGAAAGAAAAGCAGCAGGUGAGUGCCCCGAUGUUCUGACGGUACCCAAAGAAUAAGCACCGGCUAACUGCGUG
rnacentral:rRNA from 1 species